rnacentral:tRNA from 1 species
AAAGGGAGACCUAAUUCAGGUAAAAGACGAAAAAAAAGUAGUCGCUACCAAGAAUCAAUCCCAAAAGGUCGGAGCGAGGCGAAAUUGGCUUUCAAACUAGGUUCUGGGUUCACACAAGACCUGAAUCAGGAACAAGGGCUAUUAGCUCAGGUGGUUAGAGCGCACCCCUGAUAAGGGUGAGGUCCCUGGUUCGAGUCCAGGAUGGCCCACCUGCACAGGUGGCAAAAACAAGAGAAGCGAGGAAUCAGCACCUUAUCUUACUUACAUAGUAAGAGAGAAUGCUGGCUCUGAGUAAAGAGUCCAGAGGAACCUUGAAAACUGCAUAGAGCUAGGUGAAAAAGCCAAAAAAGAAGACCGCAAG